GGAUGACUGAUGUUGGAUCACAACUGGAGAUCUCAAGCCAAGUACCUUGUGUGUUGGGAAGACUGUUGAGUUUCAGGGCUGCAGAGAAAGGGUGGGUUUUUACUGAGGCCCUUUGUUUGACUAUGAAAUCAGAGCCAGGGCAUGAUGUUGCUUUUCCCUAAGAUGAGAACAUCUCAUUCUGUUCACUUUACUUAGAUAGAAAGACUCCGGCUCUUUGUUCAACAGUUGAAUUAUGGAGGGAAGUUCCCUUUUGCCCCAAGGAUUUCUGUACUUAAAGCAAUACCGUGUAAGAAUGUGGAAGUCUUGGGAUGACACCUUCGGCAGCUUGCAGAAGAGAAGUUGCUAAUUCCAAUAUGAUCCUUAUUUCCCACCCAGAUAUUGCCAAUAAGAAUUUUCUGUUGAUUCCCUUAAUGGCAAAAGUCCUCCUCGAUUAUUCUUUUACUUAACACCUGGCCAGUGCUGACACACCGCAGGCCCCAGAGAUCUCAGAUUCAAUUCGGCAGACUUUGCUGCAGCAUCUGCUAGAGACUGCAAGGGAUUCAGAGGAGGAAGGGGGCACAGUCCCUCUGAGAGCUAUGCUAACUAACUCUGCAGAAUCUAUCCAGUGUGGGGUGACAGCAGUGUUACCUGGGACCAAAUUAAAAGCAUGUCUAUGAUCUGAAUAGCUGGCUUUUCCCUGCUGCUGUCAUGGGAAUCCUUGACUUAGACCAGAAAUGGGGAAGGAGAAUGCAGAAGACCACCCCAGAGGGAGAAUAUCCCCCCAGCUGUGUCUGGCCGGGCUGGCGGUCGCUCUCGCUUGUAUCUCCAGCUAGAAAUCCUCUAGCACCUUCUCUAACCUGCAUCUUGGGCUUACCGCUUUGCCUCCUCUCCAUCAGAGGAAAGCCCCGGCAAUUGUCUGGGUCAUCAAAGUGGCAGGAACAUUCUCUUUGACCCAAGGCAACUUGGCCUUGUCUAAGGCAGUGUCACCAAUGCCAUGAAUCCUUCCUUUCUUCUUUCCUUCCUUCCUUCCUUUCUUUCUCCCUUUCUUUGUUUUAGGGGAAUAUCCCCACAGAAAAAGAGGAAUAACAGACUGAAGGGUUUUCUACUUUCAACAGUGUGUUUGGAAUCCUCUGACCCAGGGUCUUUCUAUGCUGAUACCUUGCCCAGAUAAGAAUGUAGUUCUAGCUGAAACUUCGAUGGCUAUGACAAGAUUCACCUAAGCGACUAAGUGACCACUGUUCCCACCUUUCACUGCCUAGGCUCCACCUUGGAAUACAUUUUUGAAACAUUCAGUCCCUUCUGCAGAAGGGAGACCUGAGUGUCCAAGAGGUAGGACAACUUGCCCUGGGAACAGACAGCAUGCCAGGCACAGAAUGAGGAGUGGAAUCCAGCCCAGCCAUACCCGUUUGACCCAUUCCCACCCAGGAAGCUGAAGAUAAAAGAUUUGGGGAAAUACCCAAAGAACAAAGGGCAGAUUUUUUUGCCCUAGUAUUCGGUGCUAGUAAGUUUUCACCCACUUAGCCUGCUCCUCUUCUGAGCAGAAGUCUGGAAGGAAGGCAGUGAUCUAAGGAAGCCAUGGGGGGAGGGGAGUGACAAUAAUCCCUGCCUGUCUAAAAACCACAGAAGACUAACCUGAUACUCUUUCAGCCCCAUCUGCAUCAACACUAAACAACUACACACUCCCCGUAUCUUUCACACACGCCAAGUGAACAUUCUUGAAGAUUUCUCUUUGUGACUGCAACCACCUGCAAACCAGAACGAAUCUAGAAUUUCUUUUUCUUUUUUUCUUUUUGUUUAAUUUCUAAUCUCUUGUUUAUGAGGUGUGGGGUUUAUAAGGGACUGAAUCAAAUGAAUGUAACAAAAAAGAAAAAAAUACAAAAAACAAAUGCCUUUUCUCAGGGCCAGUGAGUUGCAAAUAAUUUUUAAAGAAAAGCCUAUAAUUGCAUCAUCUCAAUAAAUUUU
rnacentral:lncRNA from 1 species